UACGUAGGGGGCAAGCGUUGUCCGGAUUUAUUGGGCGUAAAGCGCGUGUAGGUGGCCAUGUAGGUCCGCUGUGAAAACUCGAGGCUCAACCUCGAGACGCCGGUGGAAACCAUCAGACUAGAGUCCGGAAGAGGAGAGUGGAAUUCCUGGUGUAGCGGUGAAAUGCGCAGAUAUCAGGAAGAACACCCGUGGCUAAGGCGGCUCUCUAGUACGGUACUGACGCUGAGACGCGAAAGCGUGGGGAGCGAACAGG
rnacentral:rRNA from 1 species